rnacentral:rRNA from 1 species
CGCAUCUGUGCAUGCAGCAUAUCAAUAAGCGGAGGAAAAGAAACUAACAAGGAUUCCCCUAGUAACGGCGAGUGAAGCGGGAAGAGCUCAAAUUUGAAAUCUUAAAGGGUUUCCCUUUACGAAUUGUAGUUUAAAGAAGUGUUUUCUGUUGAGGUUUUGGUAAAAGUUCUUUGGAAUAGGACAUCAUAGAGGGUGAGAAUCCCGUAUUUGACCUUUACUUUCAACUCUGUGAUACACUUUCAAAGAGUCGGAUUGUUUGGGAAUGCAGUCCAAAAUGGGUGGUAAAUUUCAUCUAAAGCUAAAUAUUGGCGAGAGACCGAUAGCGAACAAGUACCGUGAGGGAAAGAUGAAAAGAACUUUGAAAAGAGAGUUAAACAGUACGUGAAGUUGUCAAAAGGGAAGCGUUUGACACCAGUGUUGUUUUUCUGAAAAUCAAUUAAAGAACUGUUUAUGCUAAGCUGUUUAGACUUUAUCAGCUAUCUGUUUAGUUUUGAGCUUUUCUUUAAUGCACUUUUCAGUUAACAAGUCAACAUCAAUUUCUUUUGCUGUAAAAAAGCUUGAGGAAGGUGGCUUGAGAUUCGUCUUAAGUGUUUAUAGCCUCUUGCCUAUGCAGUCGGAGAGAUUGAGGUCUGCAGCGUAGAUCCUUCGGGGCUAAAUGCAUUUGUGCUAAGUUAUAGCAUUUUAUAGACAACUUGUUGACUAUGAUUUGUCUUGUAGCUUACUCGCUUAUGUUAUUUUACCUACGCUUAGGAUGUUGAUCUCUCACAGUCGAGC